AUCGAACGCUGGCGGCAUGGCUAAAACAUGCAAGUCGAACGCGAACGAGUCUUCGGACUUUAUUAGAGUGGCGAAAGGGCGAGUAAUGUAUUUUUAACGUACCUCCAGGCCAGGGAUAGCAUCGAGAAAUCGGUGGUAAUACCUGAUGACCCCGUAGUGUUGUAUGGCACAGCGGGCAAAGGCUUGCCACCUGGAGAGCGGGAAAUAUCCUAUCAGCUUGUUGGUGAGGUAAUAGCUCACCAAGGCUAAGACGGGUAGCGGGUGUGAGAGCACGACCCGCCGCAUCGGGACUGAGACACUGCCCGGACUCCUACGGGAGGCUGCAGUAACGAAUAUUCCGCAAUGCGCGAAAGCGUGACGGAGCAAUGCCGCGUGCAGGAUGAAGCCCCUCGGGGUGUAAACUGCUGUCAGGGUUUAGGAACACAAUGACCAUACCCAAAGGAAGGACCGGCUAACUCUG
rnacentral:rRNA from 1 species